rnacentral:tRNA from 1 species
GUCCCUGAAGCGCAAAAGUUAGCGCGUUGGACUUCUUAUCCAAAGGUCGUGGGUUCGAAUCCCACGGGGGAUG